UACGGGGGGGGCAAGCGUUGUUCGGAAUUACUGGGCGUAAAGGGCUCGUAGGCGGCCAACUAAGUCAUACGUGAAAUCCCUCGGCUUAACCGGGGAACUGCGUCUGAUACUGGAUGGCUUGAGUUCGGGAGAGGGAUGUGGAAUUCCAGGUGUAGCGGUGAAAUGCGUAGAUAUCUGGAGGAACACCGGUGGCGAAGGCGACAUCCUGGACCGGUAUUGACGCUGAGGCGCGAAAGCCAGGGGAGCAAACGGG
rnacentral:rRNA from 1 species